UACAGAGGGUGCAAGCGUUGUUCGGAAUUAUUGGGCGUAAAGAGCUCGUAGGUGGCUUGUCACGUCGGGUGUGAAAGCUUGGGGCUUAACUCCAGGUCUGCAUUCGAUACGGGCUGGCUAGAGGUAGGUAGGGGAGAACGGAAUUCCUGGUGUAGCGGUGAAAUGCGCAGAUAUCAGGAGGAACACCGGUGGCGAAGGCGGUUCUCUGGGCCUUACCUGACGCUGAGGAGCGAAAGCGUGGGGAGCGAACAGG
rnacentral:rRNA from 1 species